UCUCAAAUCAGGUAGGACUACCCGCUGAACUUAAGCAUAUCAAUAAGCGGAGGAAAAGAAACUAACAAGGAUUCCCCUAGUAACUGCGAGUGAAGAGGGAAAAGCUCAAAUUUAAAAUCUGACUGUCUUCGAUAGUCCGAGUUGUAAAUUAGAGAAGUGCUAUCCGCGCUAGCCUGUGCAAAAGUCUCUUGGAAAAGAGCAUCAUAGAGGGUGACAAUCCCGUCUUUGGCACAGAUCACUGGGGCUUUUGUGAUACGCUCUCGACGAGUCGAGUUGUUUGGGAAUGCAGCUCCAAAUGGGUGGUAAAUUCCAUCUAAAGCUAAAUAUUGGCGAGAAACCGAUAGCGCACAAGUACCGUGAGGGAAAGAUGAAAAGAACUUUGAAAAGAGAGUUAAACAGUACGUGAAAUUGUUGAAAGGGAAACGCUUGAAGUCAGUCUUGUCCUGUAGAAAUCACCCUAGCUCCCGCUGGGUUUACUUUCUAUGAGACAGGUCAGCAUCAAUUUUGACCGUUGGACAAAGUCCAGAGGAAUGUGGCAUCUUCGGAUGUGUUAUAGCCUUUGGUUCAUAUACAGUGGUUGGGAUUGAGGAACUCAGUGUGACUUUUGUUUGGGCUUCGGCUACAACCCGCACUUAGGAUGCUGGCAU
rnacentral:rRNA from 1 species